rnacentral:rRNA from 1 species
CAGUAGCCGCGGUAAUACGAAGGGGGCUAGCGUUGUUCGGAUUAACUGGGCGUAAAGGGCGCGUAGGCGGGUUUUUAAGUCAGAGGUGAAAUCCCAAGGCUCAACCUUGGAACUGCCUUUGAUACUGGAAGUCUUGAGUCCGGGAGAGGUGAGUGGAACUGCGAGUGUAGAGGUGAAAUUCGUAGAUAUUCGCAAGAACACCAGUGGCGAAGGCGGCUUACUGGCUCAUUCUAGACGCUGAGGUGCGAAAGCGUGGGAGCAAACAGGAUUAGAUACCCCGGUAGUCCCUGUCUCUUAUACA